ensembl:misc_RNA Y_RNA Y RNA
AGCUGGUCCAAAGGUAGUGAGUUAUCUCACUUGAUUGUUCACAGUCAGUUACAGAUUGAACUCCUUGUUCUAUUACUUUCCCCCCUCCUCACUACUGCACUCGACUAGUCUAAA